GGGGGCGAAAGGCUUCGACAGGAGUUUGUAGGUCAGCAGGAUGCACGUCGGGUUUGCUUUCGGUGACCCGUAAAAAACCGAAAGAAAUACAAAUGCCAACCAAGAAUUGGCUCUAGCUGCUUAAUAAUUAGCAGCCGUCUCUUUAUCGGCUCGCCUGAGGCUGAUAAAGAGGCGUGACGAAUAUCAGGCUAGUUUCUGCAUCGCCGCCUGAGAUGCAGGAACGAAUCUAAACAGGCUGGUUCGUGAAGAGCUUUGUCAGUUUGGUGUCUUCACGAAUGAGAAUUUUCAAACUGACUAAGCGUGUAGGAUCCUCUGGUCACAACUUCUGGAUGUGGGUUCGAUUCCCACCGCCUCCACCA
rnacentral:tmRNA from 1 species